UACGUAGGGGGCAAGCGUUGUCCGGAAUCAUUGGGCGUAAAGAGCGUGUAGGCGGUCCGGUAAGUCGGCUGUGAAAGUCCAGGGCUCAACCCUGGGAUGCCGGUCGAUACUGCCGGACUAGAGUUCGGAAGAGGAGAGUGGAAUUCCUGGUGUAGCGGUGAAAUGCGCAGAUAUCAGGAAGAACACCUAUGGCGAAGGCAGCUCUCUGGGACGGUACUGACGCUGAGACGCGAAAGCGUGGGGAGCGAACAGG
rnacentral:rRNA from 1 species